AUUGAACGCUAGCGGGAUGCCUUACACAUGCAAGUCGAACGGCGUGGCGAACGGGUGCGUAAUGUAUCUGAACGUGCCCAGGCGCGGGGGAUAACUACGCCAAAGCGUAGCUAUUACCGCCUACUCUUGGAGCGGCCGAUAUCGGAUUGGCUUUUGGGUGGGGUAAGGACUCACCAGGGCGACGAUCCGGAGCUGGUUUGAGAGGACGACCAGCCACACUGGGACUGAGACACGGUCCAGACUCCUACGGGAGGCAGCAGUGGGGAAUUUUGGACAAUGGGGGAAACCCUGAUCCAGCCAUCCCGCGUGUGCGAUGAAGGCCUUCGGGUUGUAAAGCACUUUUGGCAGGAAAGCGGUACCUGCAGAAGAAGCACCGGCUAACUACGUGCCAGCCGCCGCGGUAAUUC
rnacentral:rRNA from 1 species